UGCUGACUGGGUGCCCACACUAAGUUCGGCAUCAAUAUGGUGACUUCCUGGGAGCGGGGUCCACCAAGUUGCCUAAGGAUGGCUGAACUGGCCCAGGUCAGAAAUGGAACAGGUCAGAACUCCAGCAGCGACUAGUAGUGGGACUGUGCCUGGGCA
ensembl:misc_RNA Metazoa_SRP Metazoan signal recognition particle RNA